rnacentral:rRNA from 1 species
UACGGGGGGGCGAAGCGUUGUUCGGAAUUACUGGGCGUAAAGGGCUCGUAGGCGGCCAACUAAGUCAGACGUGAAAUCCCUCGGCUUAACCGGGGAACUGCAUCUGAUACUGGAUGGCUUGAGAUUGGGAGAGGGAUGCGGAAUUCCAGGUGUAGCGGUGAAAUGCGUAGAUAUCUGGAGGAAUACCGGUGGCGAAGGCGGCAUCCUGGACCGACAUUGACGCUGAACGGCGAAAGCUAGGGGAGCAAACGGG